GCCUGAGCAGCCACGGAGGCCAAGGGCAGGGGCUGUCCAAGGCAGCCUGGCUGGAGGGCAGACGUGGGAGCGCCAGCCCAGGAAGGCGGCCCCGGCUCCGAGGGCCGGGGGGGUCUCUGGAGCUACGGUGGGCAGCUCCCAGCAGGCCUUCUGAGCUCGGCGGUCAGCUCACCUGCCCCUCUACCCGCCGUCCGCAGGGCUCGGCCAGCUGCUCACACUGGAGGUGGAAGGGAACCGGCUGCACGAUGGGAACAUCUCCCUCCUGGCCUUCCAACCCCUACGCAGCCUGCUCUACCUGAGGCUGGACCGGAACCAGCUGCGGACCAUCCCGCCCGGCCUGCCAGCCUCCCUGCAGGAGCUGCACUUGGGCACCAACGUCAUCGAGGAGGUGCCAGAGGGCACACUGAACUGGCUGGCGCCCCGUGCUUGGAUCGAUCUCCCCCCGCGUGAGGACGGCAUCCACGGCGUGUCCUUCCUGGGCCUGCAAGCCUCCCUGGUCGAGCUGCUCCUGGACCACAACCAGCUGCAGGCCGUCCCACAGGGCCUCCUGGGCCUCAGGGCCCUGCAGGUGCUGAGCCUGAGCCACAACAAGAUCAGAUAGGGCCGAUGGCCUGUGGCCAUCCUGCUGUCCCCCCCACCCCACCCGCAUCCCUACCGCCAGCCCAGGAGGAAGCUUGGCUAAGGCCCGGAGGCCCAGCCUGGUAGGUUGGCCAGGUGCUCUGGCCUGUGGGCUUGUCACCCAAGGGCCUCAGAGGCUGAGGGCGGGACUGUGGGGGGCAUCCUUCACCGCCCCCAACUCCCCAUCUUGGUCGCCGUGACUGGAGGCUGUAGCCGCUGGCAGGCCCGGGCAGCCAAGGUGGACAGCAGAAUCUGGGCAGGGGGUGGGCGGGCGGAGGUUGGGAGGGCUCUGGCCCAGAGCAGCAAGGGCCGAGCCCCGAGUGGGCAGGUGGCAGGUGGUGGCAGCGACCCGCCUGACCCUCCACCCUGGGUCUGGUGUCUGUGCCUUGGUCUCACCACCCCCUUGCUGUCGGGCUCCUCUUUCUCUCCUCUCACCUGAGGCCUGACUCUCCUUUCUGGGGUCUCUUCUCCUCUGCCCCGCCCUGCUACCCCCACUCCACAGGCACGUGCCCCUGAAUUCCAUCUGUGACACACGCGUGGCCCAGGACUCCAACCUCAUCUCCACGCACCUGGAGAACAACCUUAUAGACCGGCGUCGCAGCCCACCCACCACGUUCUCCUGCAUCCGGGCCUACCACAGCGUGGUCCUCCAGCCCCAGCAGGGGGAGGGGGAGUCCGCCUAGCCCCACCAGCCUUCCCCACCCCCUGCUCUUUUGGGACUGGGUGGGUGGCGGGGCAUCUUUGCACCACUGGGAGAAAGAUCUAGAAGACCCUGCUGCUUCAGAUGCACCCAUGUCCCAUUGACUGCUGAGGCCCCUUAACUUAGUAAAUGACCCAGCCUGGCAUGGUGCUGGUUUGGACUUGCACAUAAUAAAUGCAUCUCAUUCA